GAUUAAUUACUUUUAUCAGUAAUUCGAUGUGUUUUCAUGAGCUUAGAAUGAGCCCUUCAUAUCUCCAGGGGAGCGGUCCCCUCACGGAGGCUGCCAUGUUCAUACAUUAGCCCAAAGGGGACAUAUGUACUUUUUGUA